UCGAAAGUUUUUCAAACUUUAUCUCAAUUACACAGUUGGUCCAGUAAAAGACACCCCAUUUAAGACAUCCUUUAUUAAACUGAAUGUUUCUGCAGAAAAAAAUAUUGUCUCUUUUGAAUUUAGGGGAGAAUUAAAAGAAAAAAAACCCUUCAAAAAAAAAAUCAAGUUUCCUAAAUCAGUAUUUUUCUAAGCAAGGAAGAGCACUCUUACUCUGCCAGCCAAGCAGGAGGGUGGGCACUGAGGGAGGACUAUUUACAAAGCCAAGAAAAAAGAGAGCUCCUGUCUGCUUUUACCUCCCUGAUCUCUGCUCAGCCUGGCUUCUGCCUUUGCCUGCAUCAUAAGUUGUACUGUGUCCUGUGCCACCAAGAGCACAAAGACUGCUCCUUUUAAACUGAACUACUCCCAGCUUUUAAAAUGUCAAUUCUAACACCACAUGCAAAUACGGACCUCCUGGGCGAGGAGUUUUGCACAGAUGAGCUCACUGCUUGGAGAAGCAAACUGCUGGGUGGUGGGCACAACACUCCCUCUUUUUGUGUGUGGAAGAAACCUAGGUGGACGACAAUGAAGGAAUAUUACCUAUGUCUGCUUUUAUUCUUGCUCAAAGGCUGGUGUUGAGAAGAUUAUGGGCUGAAUUCAUUUUUGGUUUCACACUGAAGUCAGCAGAGUUAGACCAGGGCUGUGUUUGGCGGUAUUUCUGUAUCCUGCAGUUCAGCAUGGAAUAUGUCAUCGUUUGACACAGUGUUCAGCAUGUUUAGUUGUAUAACUGCUAGAACAGAUAAAGAAUCAGCCAAGCAAACAAUGAAAUAUGAAAACGGUUCUCGUAAAAACAUCCCAGCCUCAGGGAAUGCAUCUGCCAAGACUGCUCCGUGGUGACAUGAAUGGACACAGCAGUUAACUGCACUCCAAGCGGAGGGAGGAUUACAAGGAGGUGGGGAAAGCAAAAGAAGCCAGUGUGAUACUGCCAACAACAGCAGGUUGCAAUACUUAAUCUCAGGGCUUGUGCCAAUGUGCUUCGAAGCUGCUGUUGUUUUUAUGAGGAAAAAUGCAGAAAAGACUAAUCUGUGUAUUUAUGUCUGUCUGGAAAUGUUAUAAGUGCUGUGCGGUCAUUCCCAUUCCAGAACCAAGGGGUCGGUAUUCCCAUGAUGUGCAGACUGGAAGAUGCUGCCAGAUCUCAGCUCCUGCGCAUGGUAGCAGAGACAGAGAGAGAGCGGGAUUUUCCUGGGCUGAUUUAGUUUCCAUGAGACACGGGAAAGGAUGGGCCAUAUGAUUAAGGUGCUGAACUGUUACUUAGGAUAGCUGGUUUCAAUUCCCGGCUCUGCUCACCGUUGUGACUUCCCCCAUCUUCUUUUCUCAGGUGGAGGUGUUGUGAGCAUUCAUUAAUGUUUGCAGACUGCUUAAACUCUAUGGUGAUGAGUCCUUAGGAACGUGUGGCUGGACAUGUAAUUCUUCAUCUCUUGUUCUAAAGACUGUCAUGCCAUUACUCUGUGGUGUUCAAACAUUUACCAUGCUCUUCCCAAGAAAGAGUUGAUAUUAAUUGGUGUUGUGGGUGGGUAAAAUUACUCUUGCAAGUAUGUAUCUCAAAUUAGUUGUAAGUGUGCCAUAGUAUAUAGAAUAAAUGUGGGCCAUAAAUCAUCAUUAACAUCUGCUGGAAAAUGCAUCAGUGCCCCAGCAAUUUUAGCUUACUUUGUCAGAGUGCUUGACACAAGCCCUGUGAUCCACAUCAUAUAGUACAUACAGGAUACAGUAAUCUAUAACACUGCCUUUCCCUGAUUAUUUUUUCAUGCAAACUUUGCCUUAAUGAAUUUGUCAAUAUCAAGCAACUUUCUUUCCCCAAACAAUGUUGUUGGUAAUCCACAAGUUGUUAUUCUUGGAGCACCGGUUUAACAAAAGCCAGUCUCUUUGUCAGAAUUUUGCUGCUUUCAUAUUUUUAUUGCAGAAUUGCACAAAAAUAUUUGGCUUGUCUAAUCGUAACUGGAUGACAUGGUAUAUAUGGUUGACAAUGUGUCAUCUCAUUAUUCCUACAAAAAUAAACUUUAGCAGGGUUUUCUUCACCUUUGUCCCCUGGCAUUCUGUUAAUUCAAAUUUGAGAAUGCGGAAUGGAAAUGAAACUUUCCUAAUAACACAAAACAAAUGAGUGUCAUCUAACGGCAGCCCUAUAAGAGUAUCAUAGUUCAUUAAUCUAUAUGUGUGUUUAUUAAUCUCUCUGUCUUUUUAGCUAUAUGGAUCUAGAUUUGCAAAUUGCACUGUACUGUACAGCUAGCAUCUGUAGCUUCAUAGAUCUUAACAACAGAGGACUGGAAGGGACCUCUCUGGGCCUCAGGUCCAGGUCCUGCUAUUUCAGGCAACUACCUCAUAUAAGCCCUUUCACAAGAGGGAUUUAAGGCUAGACCUGUAUGAUUCUCUAGUCUGCACAACACAGGCCAGAGAGCGAGCUAGAAAGGCGUCUCAUCUUGAUUUACAGAAUUCUGUUGAUGGAGAGACAACUACGAUCUGUGAUAGAGACCCUGAGACACAGUAGAGAAGAAGUGGCUCGUCCAAGGUCCCAGCAGGCAAAGCUGGCAAAGGACUCUUGCUUCCUUGAAUCCCAGUCCAGUGUUUUACCCAUUAGGGACUCUCACAUGUGUGGGCACGUGCACGUGCAACCACCUGCACACACACCUCCACAUGUACAGCCCCCUAAUGCACAGACAACUUGGCUCAUGAAAUGCUCAGAAAAAGCUUGAUUGAUCUUGAACUCAAGAUCUGGGUGGAAUUUUACAGCAAAAUUGUAGAUUUUUUGCUAUUCUUCAGCCAAUACUGGGCCACUCUCUGCUAAAAAGAAGGGAGACUCCACAACAGAAGAGCUCUAAGAAAGAGAGACCCAACUGCUUCUUUAAAGUUGAAAGGCCCAUUAUGAUGCUGAAGACUGUUCUCAUUGAAGGCAGUGCAAGUUUUCCAUUAACUUCAACAGGAGCAUCUUUUUCAAGAUACACCGUGUGACAUAAUGCCAUCGUCAGCAUCUGAUUAAGUGAACUUGAUUUCACAAAAGCUUAUGCUUUCUAUAUAUAUAUCUUCUUUGUUAGUCUAUAAAGGUACAUAUUUACCCUGCCUUCUGACAGACUUCAUACUAACAUGGCUGACUACGUCUUUCGUAAUUUGAAAGACCUGCAAGAAAUGAACUGUCUUAGAAAAUCAGUAGCCCAGAUUUCAGCUUUUUAUCUUUUAAAAGAAUUCAUUUGCUUGUCUUUAUUAAGGAGCAUGAGGUGGCAGCCUCAAACCAGAGGCCACAGCUUGACCAGUAUAGCUGCUUAUCCUACCUGCUACCCUACAGCUGGUCAUGCAGGUUGGUCAAGGCUGUCCUGAAGCCUCCACCAGGGCCUAGCCCUCUGGCCACUCACUGGCACUCGAGUGGCUGGCCAGGGUUAGCCGAUCCUCCUCUUUCCCCAUAUAAACCCCUGCACAGGAACAAGAAGUGUCUGGACAACAGGAUUUAACUUGAUCUUACAUUGCUCCCUGCUGUUCCUAGAUCUUGCUCUUGGCUGAGCUCCUGGCUUCCUGACCGAGCCUGUACCUGGAUUCUGUUCAUUUCUCUUGACCCUGGUUGGCAUCUUGACUCCCUGAGUGGCCCCAGACCUGGCUGCCCAUCACUUGGUGUGGCAAAGAGAGGCUGCAGUGUGAGGAGUCAGAUUCACGUUUUCUAUGCAUUGGGAAGUAUUCUGCUUCAUUCCUAAGUCAUAGAGAUAAGUAUGAAAGAUGGGUCCAAACAAGAAUCCUGGAGGGAGUGGCUUCUGGAGCUGUGGGAAAGUUUGGGUAUAGAUUUGUUUCCAGACCCAAACUUGCAGCAGGCCUCUUGGUGUAGUGAACAGAACUAGGAGCCUGAGUCCAAACUUUCCUUGUACUUGAAGGAAAGCUCAUCGCUCGUUCUUUGUGUAGUUUGAUAUUUGGGAUUUCCAUACCUUUUGUCACAACACAGUGCUGGACAAUCCUGACACAAUAUGUUCCGCCAUAUGUUCUGCCUGACACACAUGUUCUGCCAUAUGUUUAUUUGGAUAUCUCACCAAUAAAAAAAGUAGCACAUGAGUGAUGUUGUAGCAAGAAUUGUUGGGAUUGAUAUAUUUUAUUGGACCACUUGCAUAGUUGGGAUAGAUUUUAGACCAGCUUUUUGGAAAUAAAAAAGUCUCUGAGCUGACUACCUCUCUAUGCCUGAGGGAGGGUAUCUUGUGCCUAAAAUGUGGUCUAAAAUCUCUUCCCAGCUAUGCAGUUGGUCCAAUACAAGAUAUCACCAUAAAAAUCCUUGCCUUUCACAUCUAAAAAGGGCAAUUUUUUUAAAAUCCAGAAACUGCACCAUGUGCUUCCUGUUUCACAUACAUACAAGUACAAAUUUACUCUUUUUAGCUGGUUGCAGCCAUAGUUCCCUCUGAUUUGGUUUUCAGAAGAGAGGAUUAAUUUUGUCUGUACUAGCCACCACUACAAGCCUUGUCACUUGUAACACACCCUGCUGAAAUGGUUUGAUUUCUUAAGAGCUACAAGCCAUUGAGAUCAGGGAUUAUUUUCUCCUGGAAAACCUUCCUGAACAAAAAACAGUGUUUGUAAUCUAUGUUUUGGAGUAGCAAAUGGAUGUGUAACCAGCUAGGCUAGCCUUUUGCUUUCUAGUAUAAGAAUGCAGUAGCAGAACUAAGGGGAUGGAGGGAGACCGGGGCACAAGCCCAGGCACUGAGUUGGGGGUGUGUGUGCAAAAAUACAGCUGCUGCCAUCAAAAAGGCAAACAAAAUGUUAGGGAUUAUUAAAAAGGGAAUUAUGAACAAGACAGAAAGUAUCAUUAUGCCCCUUUAUAAGUCUGUGGUGUGCUUGUAUCUUGAAUGCUGUGCCCAGUGCUGGUCCCCAAAGGAUACAGAAGAGCUAAAGAAAGUACAGAGAAGGUCAACAAGGAUGAUCAGCUGCAUGGAGGGGCUUCCAUGCCCCUUCUGUGUUUCCAUAUGAGGAAAGGCUAAAGAGGUUAGACCUAUUCAGUCUGGAAAAGAAACUCUUGAAGGGGAACAUCAUAAGGGUUUACAAAAUAGUAAUGGUUGAAGAGAAAGUAAAUAGGGAUUUAUGUUGUGACAGGGCCUGCCUCUUUAAGAAGAGAUGUAUGAUAUCUGUGAGGCAUGGGUAUUGGGGAGGAUGGAGCCCACAUAAUUAGCCCUUAAGACGAUGAGCCGUGACACUUGGGUUAAUCAGUAUGAGAUCUUGCUUGGGAACCUCUGGGGCAGCCUUGCUUUUUCUAAAAGAGAAAUACCUGAAAGUGUAGCAGGCAAGGGGAAAGGGAGAUUGCCCAAAGACAGCAACAUUGAUAAGGGCUGAGCGGUGCCGGGGCAUCACGGUCACCCCUGGAGUGGGGACCCUGUUACAUAUGUACUGUCUCUCACAAUACAAGAACUAGGGGUCACAAAAGAAAACUGAUAGGAUUUGGCCACAUGGGCUCCAUAAAAAUACCUGAGCAAAAAUUGGCAUAACUUUUGCCUGAAAUCUGAAAGUGGAUACCUGGCUGGGUAAACCCAUCUGAAUCCAUAAGUCACUUCCCAUAUGUUUGUGAGUUUUUAUGGGCAUCAGUUGUAGACCUGCAGGUUCCUCAUGACUUGACUGCUUCAACCAAGUAUGCCCUCUUCACACAAUGUCCAACCUCUCCUCCCUGAUUGACUAUUUCCACUCUCCCUCAUCCGUUCACUCUCCCUUCCUCCAGGACCUCACUAAAAUCUUAGCUUGGUACCUCUCUUUAGCAAGAGUGUGAUCAAUGUGCCUUUUCCCUGGAGACAGGUUGGGAAAGGGUCCAAGCAGAGCCCAAAUGAUUUUCCAGGCAUGGGAUGAAAGAAACACAAGAAUGCACACACGCCCAAACCGUGCUGCCACCUCAUGGGUGCUCCACGGUGAAACUAGGGCUUUAGUAUUGCUCAUUAGAUGCAGAGACAUUUGCUUGCUGGCCAGAACUGUACAAAUGCCUCCUCAUUACAGUUCUGUUUUUAAGGGCUGCACACAAAAAGGCACAGAACUGGGAGUGUGAGAAAGAUGUGAGCAGUUUGGGCUGUUGUAUAUCCAUAACUAUAAGCCUAAACCCGAAGUUUGAGUUCACAUUUGUAAUAUUCUGUCUCACUCUGUCGGCUCAGGGGCAGUCUGCUGCCGAGAGAAGCUUGAAGUAGCGUCCAACUAUAGCAGGUGAAUUUUCCCUUGUUAAUGCUUAAUUGUUUCCAAUAGCAAUCCUACCAGACACUGCUCCGUCUCGACUGGAAUCCGCUGGAGCUGGAGCUCACUCAGAAAGUGCCUCAGCUCAAUCACUUGUUUUUAGAUUGUCUGCGAAAAAAGAAAAAAAAGAAAAAAAGAAAAAGAAAAAAGAAAUCCCAGGAAAAAUUAACAUUUCUGAGAACGAUGGUUGUUUGCUAUUUCAUUUCAAUUUUAUAUAAAAUAUUUGGGUUGGCUGGAGUGGGGCUGCCAGGUGGCUAAACAUGCCGAGUGAGUGCGGUCAGCGCUUGGGACACGCAUGGGGCUAAAAGCAUCCAAAAAAUUACUUCUGACCUUCAUUUGGUCUGCCAAUCACUGCUGGCUGCUCUUACAUCACAUUUUUCAGCAGCCAAUAAUGGAUUCAUAGAAGUUAGGGAUGGAAAAGACCCAUUAGAUCAUCCAGUCCAUUUUCCCCUGUUCCCCAAAGGUUAACCCAGAACCGUUCCCAUUAGUAUAUUUGCUAGUGCUGUGUCCAGUCUCAUUUGAAAUGACGCAAGUGAUGGGGCUGCCAGCAUUUCCCUCUGGGAAUCUAUUCCGCAGUCUAAUGGGGUUCAUUGUUAAAUCUUUCCUGAUAUUCAGCCUAACAUUUUCUUUUGCUUAGUUUCAUCCCAUUACCCACUUGCACCACUCUAAACAAUUCCUCUCCCUUUCUCUUGUCUGGAACAAUAGUCCUUUGUACUUCUCAAAUGCCUUUCAGCUGAGAAGCCAACAGAGGUUUGCGAAAGUGAAUUCUGUUGUACCCAUUUCACAUAUGAAGAAACUGCAGCACAGAGGUUAUGGGACUGGGUGAUGUGCCCGUCUGGGUGAUGACUAGAAUCAGGAAUGAUUGCAAUUACACCUGGCUCACUUUUCCAGGCAUUUGGUACCCAGCUUGCCACAAGUUAUCAUUGUUUCUAAAGGCCCAUUUUUGCCUUUCCAGUUUAAGCAACAAGGAGAGAGUUGAAAAUGAGUAGAAAAAAAGAGGGAAAUAUCUCAAAGUUAAAUAUUAUACUUAGCAAUUUCUCUACACUUCAUUUUAUGAGGUGGUGAUUUUGAAGGUCUCUCUCACCUUUCACCCAUAAACCCCCUCUUGUUACUGUUUAUAGUUCACAUCCUUUCAGGUGUUUUUCUUCUGUAUUCACAACGGGCAGGUUGCUAGUAUCCUCUGACUAGAUAAUAUUCCCAACCAAACUUCAGGAAGUAAACAGAUUUUUGUAGUAGUUUGAAUUAAGCAACAAGCUACGCAGCUGGAUCGCAUCUCUGUGACAAGUUGAACCAAAGUCCCAAAAUGGGCUUUGAGGACCAGCCCAUGGAUGGUCCAAAGCAGCAGUUCUUUCUUAUAGUCGAGUGUUUUCAAAAUAACUUUCUGACCUUUUGGAUGAGAUCCUAUUAGCUGGGAGACAUUCAGCACCCUCGGUGGAGGUGCUUAUUGAAGUAAAUCAAAUACUAAAUCUGCAAUGCACCUCUACAUAAACUUCUAUUAAUUUUGAUUUAAGGCAUUCUUAUGUGGCUAGGGCCCAAUCCUAUAAGGUCCCUUGAGGACUGGGCCCUCAGAAACUAGAGAUGGAAAAGACCUACAAGAUUAGAUCAUCUCGUUCAUUCCCUUGCCAAUGCAAGAUUGUUCCCCACAGUAUAUUUUCCAGUGCUUUGUCCAGACUGGUCUUAUUUUUAAAUGAUUCAUAUGAUAGGGUUUCCUCCAGUUCCAUUGGUGACUGGAUAAUUGCCAGAAAAAAUUUUAGAACACUAUUUUUUUUCAUACUUUGACUUUUCUAUCUUUGGAUCAUCCAGGAUUGUGAGGGCUGCAAUUUGUACUGAACAGAACUGGCAGUAGAUUCACUGGCUGCAGAGGCAAGUUUAAGGACUUUGCUCUGACCUCCCAAGACAGCCAAAUCCCCAAAGGAAGCCAAUGGGAGUGCUGCUUGAGUGAGGACUUGGGGUUGGGCCUUCAAAGCGAAACUUCUCCACGGAGGACAGAUGUGGAUUAUUUUGCAAACACCUUUGCAAGCUUUUCUAUUAAUGGUUGUGGUAAAGCUAGGAUUUAUGUCCUAACGGUUGAACUUUGCAACUGGUGACUGUGACUGCUUUCCUAUUUGAAUUUACACUGACAGUUGAAUUUCAGGGGAGUAUGCUGGGCCUGUGACCAAACAGUGCUCGCCAAAUAGCGGUGGAGGAACUAGACUGCCUGGGUGCGUUGCUGAUUGCUGUGCCUCUUGCUCUAGUGUACUGUGUCAUAAACACUUCAGUUAUUUAUUACUGCACAAUGUUCUUGCUCCCUUACAAGUUGUCAUUGUCCUGCGUUCUGUUUUGAAGCCUUGGAUACAGAUGUUCAUGUUCUUGCUGCCUUGAAUUUCAUUGGGAAUAAAUUAUCUUGAAAAAAGAGUGGGAGGAAGUUUAAUGACUAGGUUUACAAGGCUGUCAGGACUUGGUGGAUGAAUUUUCUGUCAGCGGUUACGACACACCCUGAACUCUCCAGCGGGAUAAUUCCCAGCAGGGCUGUACCCCAGGGUAAAGUCUCCACCCUGCUGAAAUCAAUGGCAAAACACCUGCCGGCUUCAGUGGAGCUAGGAUUUCACCCCAUAGCUUUUCAUCUUGUUUCAGGCUCUUUUUUCUCCUUGUCCCUCCCAACCAGGAUUUCUUCUCCCUUUGGGCUCACUCCUGAUUCUUGUGGUUGCCCAUCUCCCUUUUUCUUUCAGGUCCUUCUUCCACUUCAAUGCACCCUGUAGGUGAAUUUGUGUGCGGUCCCUCCAGGAACCAGCACACACGGGACAGGGUGGGGGACCUUUAAGCCACUUUGUUGAUGGAGUUCUGGUCUGGGGCUGAAACAACUUGAUUGACUUAAUCGAGUGCUUUGCCCCCUGGGGUCACAACUUCCUUUCCUUGUUUGUGCCCUUGUGCGAAGCAGAAUUGACAGAUUUGUCGGGGUCUGACAGGGCUAUGCUGCGAGCACUUCUGCUGUGGCCUCAAUGUGUCAACUGUGCACCUUAGCACCCAUACCACCCCAGCCCCCUGAGUCCCUACUAAGGAAAGCAGCAUAGUAAGAAUCAAACUGGCUUAGCAAGGAAAAAAGACCGUGAGCAAAUGGCUUUACCAUUCAGAAAGUUAUGGAGGAGAAAGAGGGCCUCUUGAUGUGUUAUUGAGGAUCAGAAACAUUAACAGAGGAGAGAAAAUGUUGAGCCAACUGACAAAGAGAUAGUGGUUGAGGUCAGUAGAAAGGGUAACAUCAAAAGGGAAAUGGUGUGGCCUAAAAAGAGAGCCCUGAAGUGGGCACCCAUGGGAUAUAGAUUUGGGAGAGCAGUCACUGAAGAAGAUAUGGUCGGAAAGUAACUUGGCGAAGGCAGAACCACAAAAGAGAACAGGAUUCAGUUCCCCUGCCUUUGGGCAUGUUGGACAGGUGGGGCUGUUUUCAGUAGAAGUGGGGUCUUUGCACUUCUUAUUUCACAUCAGUCCCUGAAAAAAAUGAGCUCAGACCUGCUCUCUCUUGGCACAGUAAACUUAAUAGGUUUAAUAUGGAUUGCCAGAUAUCACACAUCAUUGUAGGAUAAAUUGCACUCUAGUGUGAUUAACCUUAAAAAGAAAGCUGAGUUUUCAUUGGCAUUGUUAUUUUCUUUUAAUUAAAUGAGUGGCAAAACAUAAUUUCCUCCCCUUUCUAUUAGCCAACUGCAACACAGUCUUAUCAAAUGAGAUCUAACAGUGCUUCGCCUCACUGUAUGUUCUUUCAAAGAUCACUACAUAUGGUUCUCAUUCUUUUUCCCAUAGGAGGUUGGAGGCUGGAAUAAUUUGUCUGUCGAUAUUAGGUUGGCACCUAGUUUUGUCCUGUUUUAGAAGCAGUCACCCAGCUGGUUUAGCAGAGUGGUUACAGAGAGGCUUUUAGCAGGUGACAUUUACAUACUCCUGUGUUACGUUACACUUCAUCUGUGUGUGCAUGGUAUUACUUACAUAGAUAAAAUGUGUGAAAGGAACACAAUGAACGGCUGUCCUCGAAACUUCCUAGCCCUGUUCAAUUACUGAGGCCUUUGUUACGUGGAGGAAAAGAUCAUGUGGCAACUUGUAUCAGGUUUAGUAGGAGUAAAAUUAUGAUUAUAAAUACUUUGGUCUGAAAAUAUAAUGCGCUGUUACCAGAUAAUCUGCAGAAUAAAGGAGGUAUUCAUUCAGUGUUGAUUGAAAUAGAAAACUGACCACAAAAUAAAUAACAGGAGUUCUGACACAAAUUAACCAAAGCAAGAUAAUUAAAAAUAGAGGCUGGCAACUGGCACAAAGGAAUUCAUUCCAGCUCCAUCUAUACAGUAGGUCACUCUUAGGUGUUAAGUUAUAUCUUGAACCUGCAGCGUGGUUAAUACUAACUUGACAGGUUUUGAUGUCAUUUCCUGGAGCAACUGUACCAGCGACUGUAAUCCACACUUGGACUUGCAUUAUUUUCCCCACAAAGAGCAGUUGCAUAUUUUUGAGUCUGAUGACUGUUAUUUUAGGUUGAGAUGAAGAAAACAUGGAAAUCCAUCACAGCAGAAGAGACUGUGUAUAUGUCUGAUUUCUCUGAACAGGUAGCAGCAACGUGUUGAACAAACUGACUGUGUAUCUUCUUCCGAGCAGAACUCGUAGAAGCUUGAAAGUGCAGGCCGUAUAUGGAGGAAAUAAAAGAGAUAUUGCAUGAUUUUGUAGCUUCAGAAUACAUACCAAAGAAGUCCCUUCUUCUGGAAGUCCAUAUAGCCUGUGUCUGCUAAACCUCAGGGAAGAGAAAAGGUUCAUUUAUUUUGUCUGGUAAUUAAUGGACAAUGUGACUGUUUUUUCCUAGUCUACUUAUUUAUAUACAGUUUAAUGGGGUUCAAAGUGGGCCAGUUAGAGUAGGCUGAGAACUUUUCGUCCAAAGUAUUUUGAUUAAAUAUUAGAUUUUAGAUUUUUUUUUGGUGAAUUAUACUAUUAUACUAUAUUUCAGUUCAUUUUUCAGUUUUUGGAUGAAAAGUUGACAUUCUUUGUCAGGGAGGAGUUAGCAUUCAGUUAUAAGUACUGACAGACAAACAAGAAACAAGGCCUGGUCCAAGGGAUGGCAGCAUAAACUGGCAAAACUUAAAUAUGCUUAUUGAAAUUAUGACUGUUUACAUUUAGCAUUUCAGACAUGCUCAUUAGAACUUUCUUGACUUUUUAAAAUACAUCUGUUUGGGAUGAUCCAGUAAAAGAUGGCCCAAUCCAUUUGCAAAACCAUUUGAGUUUUUCACAGAAGAGACCCUUAGACCAGCUAAUUUGACUUUCUGAAUAAAACAGGCUUUUGAGUUUAAGCCAUUUAGCUCAACACUUUGCACUGGCAAAAGCCUGACUUCCAGAAAGUAUUCUAAUCGUGCUCUGAAGACAGCAAGAAAUGGCAUUAUGGGCAAAGCUGGGUCAGAUAUAAAGUCAUGCCUGUUAUUAGCAAUUUUUGUUGGAAAGAAAUUCUAACUAGAGUUACUGUGGUUUUGAACACAACAUGGAUACCUUUGGCACAUAUGUGCAUUUUUGGGUAUAUACCUGAGCAUGGACAGA